GCAGGUUUUGUGCUUUGUCUUGGGAGAUGCAUCAUGUGUAUUGGGUUUUCAGGGAGCCUUAGUGCUUGAUUGGGAUAAGGUUUUUAUGUGGUGAUCCAAUGGCCUUCCGACUAAUAAACAAACCAUGGCAGGACUCAAGGGAUGACAUCAAGGGAAGUUAAGUGACCAUUGUAACACUGACCUGAACCCUACAGGUCUGGUAACCCCAUCAGGAGUCAGAGAUGAUGUCAGUAAAGCCUGUGGGCCUUCUGUUCAGAGGCCAGUCUGACUCUGAACCUGACCUGUUACUGACUUUAAGCUUACCAAACUCUGAAAGCCAACUCGGGUCCAGCAUAGCCAGCCAAGUGGGUGUGCGAGAUGUAAAUGUGAUCUGCCUUUUGAGAGAGACAACCAACUCAGGAAUAUCCAUGGCCUAAGAAGAGCAAGCUCUUGAGAGCCCCACAGGAGGAAACAGCUGACCGAACUGCAUGUGGGACCAAAAGCAUCCAAACCUGCAGUAGGGGCCCACACAGAAGAAUUGUCACCUCCCUCUUCCCUUCCAGUGCAACUUCACUGGCAAUUUGAACCACCAGGUGAAACAAAAUACUUUUCCUGUGAUAUCAGGGAUGAUGCUAGAUCCGAUUACUAAAGAUGAUUUAGCGUUAGCGAAGAAUCUCCCUUAGCAACAUCGAAUCAUAAUUAUUAUCCUCAUGCUUCCCAAAUAACCUCUCAGCUGCUAAAUGAUGCAUAAAGGCGAUAUCAAUGGUCAAUGCCACAAUUAUCCA